UACAGAGGGGUGCGAAGCGUUUGUCCGGAAUCAUUGGGCGUAAAGCGCGUGUAGGCGGCUGAGUAAGUCUGCUCUGAAAGCCCGGGGCUCAACCCCGGGAGGCGGGUGGAUACUGCUCAGCUCGAGUCCGGAAGAGGAGUGUGGAAUUCCUGGUGUAGCGGUGAAAUGCGCAGAUAUCAGGAGGAACACCAAUGGCGAAGGCAGCACUCUGGGGACGGUACUGGACGCUGAGACGCGAAAGCGUGGGGAGCAAACAGG
rnacentral:rRNA from 1 species